rnacentral:rRNA from 1 species
GUGCCAGCAGCCGCGGUAAUACAGAGGUGGCAAGCGUUGUUCGGAAUUACUGGGCGUAAAGGGCGAGUAGGUGGCCAUCUAAGUCAGACGUGAAAUCCCCCGGCUUAACCUGGGAACUGCGUCUGAUACUGGACGGCUAGAGUAUGGGAGAGGGAUGUAGAAUUCCAGGUGUAGCGGUGAAAUGCGUAGAUAUCUGGAGGAAUACCGGUGGCGAAGGCGGCAUCCUGGACCAUUACUGACACUGAACCGCGAAAGCUAGGGGAGCAAACGGGAUUAGAUACCCUCGUAGUCC